rnacentral:rRNA from 1 species
GCAGUCGAGCGAGCUUGCCUAGAUGAUUUUAGUGCUUGCACUAAAUGAAACUAGAUACAAGCGAGCGGCGGACGGGUGAGUAACACGUGGGUAACCUGCCCAAGAGACUGGGAUAACACCUGGAAACAGAUGCUAAUACCGGAUAACAACACUAGACGCAUGUCUAGAGUUUGAAAGAUGGUUCUGCUAUCACUCUUGGAUGGACCUGCGGUGCAUUAGCUAGUUGGUAAGGUAACGGCUUACCAAGGCAAUGAUGCAUAGCCGAGUUGAGAGACUGAUCGGCCACAUUGGGACUGAGACACGGCCCAAACUCCUACGGGAGGCAGCAGUAGGGAAUCUUCCACAAUGGACGAAAGUCUGAUGGAGCAACGCCGCGUGAGUGAAGAAGGGUUUCGGCUCGUAAAGCUCUGUUGGUAGUGAAGAAAGAUAGAGGUAGUAACUGGCCUUUAUUUGACGGUAAUUACUUAGAAAGUCACGGCUAACUACGUGCCAGCAGCCGCGGUAAUACGUAGGUGGCAAGCGUUGUCCGGAUUUAUUGGGCGUAAAGCGAGUGCAGGCGGUUCAAUAAGUCUGAUGUGAAAGCCUUCGGCUCAACCGGAGAAUUGCAUCAGAAACUGUUGAACUUGAGUGCAGAAGAGGAGAGUGGAACUCCAUGUGUAGCGGUGGAAUGCGUAGAUAUAUGGAAGAACACCAGUGGCGAAGGCGGCUCUCUGGUCUGCAACUGACGCUGAGGCUCGAAAGCAUGGGUAGCGAACAGGAUUAGAUACCCUGGUAGUCCAUGCCGUANACGAUGAGUGCUAANUGUUGGGAGGUUUCCGCCUCUCAGUGCUGCAGCUAACGCAUU